UCCUGAUGGUUUGCCGGGAGCCUCGUGCCCACCUGUCCUGUCUAGAGGCCUCGAGGUGGACACAGGGGACUAGCUGUGGGGACAGCAGAAGGGACGCCUGCCUGUUGGAUUCCCAUCCCUGCCGUGCACCUGCCCUGCGGGGAGGACGGGGGCCGCUCGCCCCACCGACCCCCCACCCACAGACUGACCUCUUGGCCUGCAGCCCAGGGAGGCCAGGAGGCCCCAGUGUCAGCAGUCGGAAGGGACAGCAGCGUUUCCGUGCUGUGACAGAUCAAUGGCAAGGAGAGAAAGCAGGAAAAUUUCUUUUAAAUGCCUCAAAUCUCCUGGGUUAUGUUGUACAGUGAAAUGAAUACACGAGCCUCACAGAAAAUAUAUCUUUCAAUUUCUCAGAACUGUUGUUUACGGAGAAUACAGCUCUAAUCAACUGGGAUUUUAGAACUUCGGCCGUUUAAAGGAAUGAAGGCUGAAGGUAUUUUUUUGAAUUUUUAAGUCCUACGAGUCCAAGUCAGAGAAAUUUGAAAUCUGCAAUAUUAUUUUCCGAGUGAUUGUAUGUUUGUGGGUUCCACAUUUAUGGCCUAAGCCACAUGGGGAAUAUCUUUGCUUUAUCCCCGAAUGUCUGUGCCAUUCAAUAAAUACAUCUCUCUCUCAUCCGGCAUGCUUUUCCGACAUAUUAAGUGGUAAUUUACUGAGCAGAAUGCCGUCUUUCAGAAUUUACAUCAGCUGAUGUUUGAAGAGGCGCCUCUCAGCGUGUCUGAGUUGCAGGCGUUGCCUCGAGGACGCGCAUGUCUCACAGCGUGGCAGCCCGGACGCGCCGCAGGUCCGUGUCCUUGCCGCGUGGACCGUGGCAGGUGUUGCAGGUGCCAAACAUGAACUUUCUGCUGUUGAGGUGGGUUCCGGAGCCGCGGCUGCGGGGACAGGAAGGGGGAUGUUGAUCACGUGGACGCUGAGCUCGGCCAAGAACGUCCCGGUGCUCACGUGCCCACCUGUUGAGGUGCUGCAGACCCUCUGUUACGGGACUUAGCAGGGGCUGCCGUGGCGGGCGGGCUUCCAGACCCCUCGCUCCUCGCUCCUCAGUCCCGGACGCUGAGAUUGCUGGGCCAGGGAGGGUGAGGACACGGACGCCGGGUGGACGUCAGAACUCGGUGUUUAAGGAUGGCGAGCCCACUGCCCACUGGGCGGCACCGCCACAGGCACAAGGAAUCCUGACCCCAGUUGGGAAGCGACUUUUUCUGGAGGAGCGGGCGCAGCCCCGAGUCAGGGAGCGGCUGCCAGCCUACCUCCUGCUGCCGCACAUAUUCUGACCAGAAAAAGGACACUUGCUUUCAAGGUAAAUGAUAAUAAAAGUAGGCUCUGGAGAUGCCAAGUUCUGUGACGAUUCAUGGUUCUGAGGAGCAGCGAGCAAGCGAAAGCCUCCGUCUUUGCUCGGGGUGGCGGCCCCCCGAUCCUGGGUGUGGCUCACAUCCUGCUCGCCCACCCCGUCCUCAGCGAGGGGACCAGACACGCAGAACUACAGAGGAUGGGCCUGCUUGCAAGGGGAUGAAGGAUGACAGCCGAAGCCGCCGGCCCCCAGCAGCUGCGCCGUGCAGCGAAGCACAUGCUGUCGGUGACUCUGUUCGGGGCCCCUGCUCCCGGGGCUCCUGGCUCUGCCCUCUGGGGCAUCCCUCCUGCUCCAUGUGCAACGGCAAAUGUUUCCAGAACAGAAGGCUUCUCUGUGUGCUUUACAGGCCUGUGAAAGGCUGGCGGGUGUCAGAGACUGUUUGUACCAUCUCGGCCACCUGCUCCUUAAACCCUGUGGGCUUCCCGUGUAUCGGACUACGGGACUAUGAUCUAUUGUGUUUGCACAGGACAGGCCCCCUAGGACCCCCUAGGACCACUCCCAGGCUGUGGACAAGGCUCAGGGAUCCUCAGCAGCCCUUCCCUCAGGCUGGAAGGGCCCGGGGUGGGGGGCAGAGUCGUAGGAGGCCCUGCGGUCUUCACACGCAUGUCUGGAAAUGUUCCUAGGGCCUCAGCAAAGGGCCCGACAGCAUGCCCCGCAGACUUUCACCCCCAGGCCUGUCCCUAACGGCCGGCACUGUGGGCUGACACUUCUCAGGGGUCAGUGCUCAUAGGGUUCUGUGCAGCCAGGGGACACACAAGGGGGAUGGUUUGAGUCGUGAGCCCAGAAGGUGCCGGCUUAGACUGCCUCUGAGUUCAGCUCGAGAAUGGAGCAUUGUUAUUCGUUUAUUUGUGGCAUCGUCCUCUCUCCCUCUGGUCUCAUCACGUGUCCAGGAACCUGGCUGCUGCCGUCAGCUCUGUGCCAGGAGGAGCCCUGACCACGAGCGGCAGCCGGAAAGGACACGUCCUGCUCCUCGUGCUGCCACAGGAGCACCGCAGCGAGUGUUUCCGCCUCUGACACACGGGGCGGCCUCUCCCCCGAAGGUCUGCUUCCUGGGGUCCCUCCCUGCUCCUGCCUGCACCUGCUUUAUGACACGUUCUCGCAUCUGGCUGGUCUCUGACGCACAUCUGGGUGGGCAGAGACGCGAGGACAUGUCCUCCCCACGAGUCCGAGGCUCCCUCACCUAGAGCUCUGUGCUGUGACAGCUUCUUUUAUAUAGAGGUGCCCGGAGGGGGCUUCUAUGAGGCUGGUCCGUGUCCCCGCCGGCCGCAGGCACAAGCCCCAGUCACUGCCGCAUGAGCUCGCUGCCUGGUGUCUCCAUUCUGCCACCGAGGGGCUCCCAGGGCAUUGCCAGACCUUGGCUUUGGUUUCAUCUUUCCUGCCGAGGCAGCUCCUUUGCCAGGUGUGCCCGUGAGCCUCCCAGAGCCCGGCUGUCACCCGUCCUGUCUGGGGCUCACUGGCCCCCACGCAGACGGUCAGGUCUUCUCAGCAGGUGAG